rnacentral:rRNA from 1 species
GACGAACGCUGGCGGCGUGCUUAACACAUGCAAGUCGAACGGUGAAGGGACCAGCUUGCUGGUUCUGGAUGAGUGGCGAACGGGUGAGUAACACGUGAGUAACCUGCCCCCUUCUUCUGGAUAACCGCAUGAAAGUGUGGCUAAUACGGGAUAUUCUGGGUCUGUCGCAUGGCGGGCCCGGGAAAGAUAUUGCUUCGGUGGGGGAUGGGCUCGCGGCCUAUCAGCUUGUUGGUGGGGUGGUGGCCUACCAAGGCGGUGACGGGUAGCCGGCCUGAGAGGGUGGACGGUCACACUGGGACUGAGACACGGCCCAGACUCCUACGGGAGGCAGCAGUGGGGAAUAUUGCACAAUGGGCGCAAGCCUGAUGCAGCGACGCCGCGUGAGGGAUGGAGGCCUUCGGGUUGUAAACCUCUUUCGCCAGUGAAGCAGGCCUGCUCCUUGUGGGUGGGUUGACGGUAGCUGGAGAAGAAGCGCCGGCUAACUACGUG